rnacentral:rRNA from 1 species
AAAACGGCUCUCGGCAACGGAUAUCUCGGCUCUCGCAUCGAUGAAGAACGUAGCGAAAUGCGAUACUUGGUGUGAAUUGCAGAAUCCCGUGAACCAUCGAGUCUUUGAACGCAAGUUGCGCCCCAAGCCUUCUGGCCGAGGGCACGUCUGCCUGGGUGUCACAA